AGCACCCCAGUGCUUACCAUAUGCUGUGUUCUUACACUGACUAAAGGGGAGCAGAUAAACAUGCCCUUAUACAACUGAGUCUAGGCCCUGGUCUGUAUUGUAAAUGGUGAGGCAUGG
rnacentral:snoRNA from 1 species